UUACGGCCACAUCACUUUGAAAUAUUGGUUCCCGUACGAUCACAGGAGUUAAGCAACGUCGAGUCUGGUCAGUACCUAGAUGGGUGGCCACUUGCAAAUACCAGCUGGUGAA